rnacentral:rRNA from 1 species
GUGGGGAAUUUUGGACAAUGGGCGCAAGCCUGAUCCAGCAAUGCCACGUGCAGGAAGAAGGCCUUCGGGUUGUAAACUGCUUUUGUACGGAACGAAAAGGCUCUGGUUAAUACCUGGGGCUCAUGACGGUACCGUAAGAAUAAGCACCGGCUAACUACGUGCCAGCAGCCGCGGUAAUACGUAGGGUGCAAGCGUUAAUCGGAAUUACUGGGCGUAAAGCGUGCGCAGGCGGUUUUGUAAGACAGGCGUGAAAUCCCCGGGCUCAACCUGGGAACUGCCUUUGUGACUGCAAGGCUGGAGUGCGGCAGAGGGGGAUGGAAUUCCGCGUGUAGCAGUGAAAUGCGUAGAUAUGCGGAGGAACACCGAUGGCGAAGGCAAUCCCCUGGGCCUGCACUGACGCUCAUGCACGAAAGCGUGGGGAGCAAACAGGAUUAGAAACCCGGGUAGUCC